rnacentral:tRNA from 1 species
GCUUCUGUAGUAAAAUUAUUAUGUUUGCUUUCCAAGCAAGAGUUUUGGCUGAAGGUCAACAGCAGUA